UUCAAUUGUUAUUUUUUCCCAAUCAUAAUAAGUCGCUUAUGAAUUAGUAUUAGGUUUUGCUUCCUCUUCUUCUUCUUCAAACAGAUUCAUCAUAAAUGAAAUUCUUAGACCUGUAAUUUAAGAUUUCUCUUAUAUAUGAAUAAAUCUAAGGUUCUAAGAAAGAUUUCUCUAUUUCGCGAGGUUUGCUUGCUAUAAUGAAAAGACUUACUUUGGUUGGUGUUGAAAAGGGUUUUGAAUGAACCACUUCAACAACUUGAUGAGAAACAAAUUAUAAGAUGAAAAAUCAAUGAACAAGAAGAAGACUUCUGAAACUUCUAAAAGGGCCUGAAGAAAGCAGACCAGCAAAGCAUACUGGACGAUUUGGAUAUGUAAAGAUCCGAGGUUACCCAACUAUCGGCAGUUCAGUCAGUUGUGCCGGCAUCGCAGACAUCCCCUGCUGAUUUACUGUUGUUGCUGCAGCUGGUAAUGCAAUAUCAACCAUGGGUAUUGCUUCUCGUGAGGAUGUGUGUUAACUUGAGUAGCAUGCCAGGCCCUAAACAGAGGUAGGAAAAAAAAAAGUUGUUUUCUUACUUACCACCUCAAGCACAACCAUGUGGUGGGAAUCUGCAGCUCACAUCGGGGAAACUGGUCCAAGCAUGAGAUUAAGCAUCCUCCAGUUGGUGUUGCCGUUGUCGCUGCCGGAACAUAUGUUAAAAGUUUUUCGGAACGGCCUCAUUUUUCGGAACGUAUGACCAUAUAUCAAUAUACAAAAGUUAUGGUGCAGUAUUUAGAUUCUAUUGAUGAAAAAUAUAUACCCAAUAUUUUCUUGCAUGUCUGUAUUAGAUUUAUGUAACUUAAAAUGCCAUGUAUCUUGUUUCUUUUCCUUUACUAUAUCAUCGAUUUUACUUCCCUCAUUUUUGUACAGCAUGUUACUGAUGCAUUUAAUGUUUUGACGUUAGUGUUGCAGGUUAAUGAUAUCAUGAUGUCUAUGCUGCUGAUGUGGCGCAGAGUCUUGAAAUGGACACUUACAACUAGCGUGGGCACUCCAUGUCAGAUUCAUGCAGCAUAUACAGAUAAGUUGGUGUCAUUUUCGAAUUUUAGUGGUUGUGGUCUUUCUUUUGUUAACAUAAAUAUAACAAUUGUGCUUUCGGGGGUCUUUUUGCUGUGGAUCUCCUCAAUACCCUCUAAUAGUUGUGGCUUUAGUGGUGUUUCCGACGGUUGUGGUAGGGCUUUUAGGAGCAUUAAUGGUGAUCUACAGCAUUUCAGAACACAAUUUUGUCUGUUUAUUAAGUGAGUGAUCUAUUAAUAAUGUCCGAAGGUGCUAGAGCCCCUAUGAAUAUAUGAAUGUCAUGUAGAAAUUAGUGGAUGCGAGCCAAAAAAUUCUUAUUUUAGUUAAUCUGCUAUAUUGUGAAGGUAGCCUUUAAUAAUGUUGGUUUCCUCCUAACUCCAAAUACCGUUUUUUAGGUAUGAUAGGGGUCUCCACAGAUUAAAAGGUAUAACUUACAAAGAAAUCUUAUUAUGUUGUGCAUGCCAUAAAUAGGAAGUGGUGCAAAAAGUAAACAGAAAUCCAAGUGGCAAGGCAACCAUCAGUAUUCUUCCACAACACUGGCAACCAAACAAAGGUCUUCUUAUGGCCAAUGAUAUCUCAGGUGUCAACCUUGAAGAAGCAGUUUAAUGCAUAGCUCUCUCAAAAAGUGAUUCAUAUGUAGUGUCCGCAACCGGUGGAAAGAUAUCAUUAUUUAACAUGAUGACUUUCAAGGUUGUUAUUGAGUAUGUUGAUGGUUUCAGGAGGCUUGAUAGAUGAUCUUCUAGAAGAUUCUAUAAGAGAUGAUUCAUUUCCUUGUGGGGCUUCUCCCUAUAUCUAAGUUAAUGAUAAUCCACUUUGUGUGCUUAGUGGUUGUGGUUAUAUUGGUUCUUAGGUUCAUGUUGAAAUUGGCGCACAUGGUUAGCCUUUUUAACCACUACUCCUUUGUAGGGUAGGAUCUAACUAAUCAGUUAGAAGUUAGUCUCUUUAACAACUGCAGCAACAACAACUUAUAUUACAGCAAACAACAAUGAAUUCCUAGUACCACAACAGCAACAGCAGAUUCCAGUGCUGCAAAGCAUGUUCUAAUACCACAGCAACAUCGUCGAUAUCUGGUGAACCAUCCUCUUAACUGAACAGGCUUUAUGUAUUUGGAUUUCAAUGUGAGAGUUCUUUUUUCUUUAAAAUCAUUUUGUAAAAUUACCUUAAUGUAAGAUUGAUUUUAUAGAUAUAUCCAAAUGACAAUC